UACAGAGGUCUCAAGCGUUGUUCGGAUUUAUUGGGCGUAAAGAGCGUGUAGGCGGCUUGGUAGGUCCGCUGUGAAAACUCGAGGCUCAACCUCGAGAUGUCGGCGGAAACCACUUGGCUAGAGUCCGGAAGAGGAGAGUGGAAUUCCUGGUGUAGCGGUGAAAUGCGCAGAUAUCAGGAAGAACACCUAUGGCGAAGGCAGCUCUCUGGGACGGUACUGACGGCUGAGACGCGAAAGCGUGGGGAGCGAACAGG
rnacentral:rRNA from 1 species